rnacentral:lncRNA from 10 species
UACACAUGUUUUAAUUAUUUCAGCCAUAAAAGAAGAAUGCUUUGGCCUGCUUAAAAUUGUGUGGCUUUACUCUCCCUUGAAGGAACCAGUGCAGGAAAGAAAAUGCAGAGAAUCACCACACGUGCACACACUUGCGUCCAAAUGGAAAUUAGUUCUUCUAACUUUUAAAUUCAUUAAAGUAGGGUCCUCAAGUGUCAAAGAAUAUCACAAAAUCCUUCCAGUGAAGAAACACAAGCAAGUGCCACAGUUUUUGCCAUGUGCUCUUUAAUCUAAAAAGUCC